rnacentral:rRNA from 1 species
CCUGACUCCAUACCGAACUCAGAAGUGAAACGCCGAUGCGCCGAUGGUAGUGUGGGGCUUCCCCAUGUGAGAGUAGGACACCGCCAGGU